GCAACCCUUUCCAGUGGAGCACCAACAAUAUAUUGGUUCAAUGGAGCCUUAGGAGUGCAGGUUGGUGGAUUGCUUGAUUGACAUCGUUGACAUUCCAGACAAAACUGUUUUAUUUCCAACCCAGUAAAACCUCUGUCUGACUUAGGCUAAAGUUCUGUUCACUCCUAAGUGUCCAUCUGUAGGGUCACUAUGCAACAUCGUUAGGACCUGAGCUUCUUGAGAGAAAAAUGACGCAGCUCGUCAUCCCUUGAGAGUGGGGUAGCAUCAUGCGCCACCUGCAUUCCUACCCUUCCAUGUUUCUGAAAUAUUGUGUGCUUCCUACUAUUUUGGAAGGCUUCAAAUUCAAGAGCGAGUUGGACAGCAUCUUCAACAAAUUUUGAUUUACCUUGGUGGACAGUCCAUUCAAUUUCAUAUUUAUUCAGUGAAUCUAUAAAACAGUUCCGAGCCAACUGUUCUCGGCCUUCAGAUGAUGCAUCUGGAUAUGCAUAUCUAACCAACUUUUUAAUUCAUUAUAAAGAUUUCAUCAGAUCCUUAGCAAUCAUCUCACCAACACACUCAGCAGUACGCGCUCGACCCUGAGGGCUGUGAGAUGGAGACUGAGCCAUUCCCUGGGCUGCAGGUUGGGUGGACCAUGACCAUGCGUCCAUGGCCGAAUGUGAACAUACGCCUUCCAUAGGCGGCUUAUCCAUGCAGGACUGUUGAGCGGACUUACCUGCCGUCUCACCUGAUGGGAUCCUAGAAUAAUUAUUCUUCUCCGAACAUACCUGACCAUUUAUGACAGUAUUGAACUUAGGCCUAUGAGAAAAACAUGAUUUCAUCUGACAUAAUUAAAUGUCAGGACCAAAGGAACCAGCCUCAACUAAAUUAUCAGUAGUCCCAAGUUCGUAUGAACGGGCACAUCUAUUAGUAGUACCCAGACCA